CCAGCUUUGUGCUUGGUGAUGUGAAGGCAAGAGAUAAACACAAAGAGAGUUUUUGCCUCCGAAAUGACAAGCAGAGAACCACAAGGCAAUGUUGAGAUGCAGAGGGUGGCAGUUUCCCUCCUAGCAGAGUGACUCACUCAUGCCUCCACUCCAGGGUGCAGGGCUUAGAUUCAUGACAGGGACCUCAUCAAAUAACCAGGAAAGAUUAAUCACCUGAGAAGAGAAGAGACUGGGAAUCUUCACCCUGCCCAGACAGACUUUUCAUCUAUUCUCCUGAGAGCAGCUCCAAGAGAUUACCUGUGGGACUCAAUUUGCAUAAUAAGAUGACCUUUGUUCCUGUGCAGUUCCACCCCUCACCUUCCCAUAAUGUCUGCCUCCCACCUCCCAGGUGCAUUAUUUUUCCCUAAUUACUUACUGCUCCUUAAAAGAAAUGUCUACACUUCCCAUCUCCUUCCUCCCCUAUGGAAAAGGGCAUAUCACUUCUAUCAUUCUCCUGUGAUCCCCUGUGCUAUGCACAUUACAAUAAAAUUUUGUGUGCCUUUUCUCCUA
rnacentral:lncRNA from 1 species